rnacentral:rRNA from 1 species
UACAGAGGGUGCGAGCGUUAAUCGGAAUUACUGGGCGUAAAGGGCGCGUAGGCGGCGCGGUAUGUCACCUGUGAAAUCUCCUGGCUCAACUGGGAGCUUGCAGGCGAAACUGCCGUGCUGGAGUGUGGGAGAGGUGCGUGGAAUUCCUGGUGUAGCGGUGAAAUGCGUAGAUAUCAGGAGGAACACCAAUGGCGAAGGCAGCUCGCUGGGACGUGACUGACGCUGAGACGCGAAAGCGUGGGGAGCAAACAGG